ACAGCAGCCGCCGCGGGAAUACGGAGGAUCCAAGCGUUAUCCGGAAUCAUUGGGUUUAAAUGGUCCGUAGGCGGUCUUGUAAGUCAGUGGUGAAAGCCCAUCGCUCAACGGUGGAACGGCCAUUGAUACUGCAGGACUUGAAUUAUUGGGAAGUAACUAGAAUAUGUAGUGUAGCGGUGAAAUGCUUAGAGAUUACAUGGAAUACCAAUUGCGAAGGCAGGUUACUACCAAUUGAUUGACGCUGAUGGACGAAAGCGUGGGUAGCGAACAGGAUUAGAUACCCCAGUAGUCCCUGUCUCUUAUAC
rnacentral:rRNA from 1 species